UACAGAGGCCUCGAGCGUUAGGCGGAAUCACUGGGCUUAAAGCGUGUGUAGGCGGACUUCUACGUGCCUUGUGAAAUCCCACGGCUCACCCGUGGAACUGCUGGGCAUACUGGGAGUCUUGAGCCACCUAGGGGCGAGCGGAACAAAUGGUGGAGCGGUGAAAUGCGUAGAUAUCAUUUGGAACGCCAACGGAGAAAUCAGCUCGCUGGGGGUGUGCUGACGCUGAGACACGAAAGCCAGGGGAGCGAACGGG
rnacentral:rRNA from 1 species